rnacentral:ncRNA from 1 species
ACUGAUGAAUUCAACGAGUGCAUGCCUGGGUUGAAAAGCCUGGGUAAUCUUUUUAAAUUUCAUCGUGAUGGGGAUAGAUCAUUGCAAUUAUUGAUCUUCAAG